ACCAAAAAUCUCUCUCAAUUUUCAACCUGAAAAAUCCGGCGACUGCCUGCUCUGGCGAAUGAAGGGAAUUUCCUGCCAAUGACACCCUGCUAUGGCUAAUGUAAGGAAUUCCGGUGUAGGUUAUUGGUGUUUUCCCAGUUCGAUGUUUGUAUGGUUGUUAGUUGAGUACGGAAAUUGUUUGAUGCUUCUUCGAUCUGCUUUCUUCUCUGGUAAUAUGCUUCAUAAACCCAUUAUUUUACUUACAUUCAGU
rnacentral:lncRNA from 1 species